UAUUGCACAAUGGGGGAAACCCUGAUGCAGCGACGCAGCGUGAGUGAAGAAGUAUUUCGGUANGUAAAGCUCUAUCAGCAGGGAANNCCNNNANAGUACCUGAACAAGAAGCCCCGGCUAACUAAGUGCCNNNANCCGCGGUAAUACGUAGGGGGCAAGCGUUAUCCGGAUUUACUGAGUGUAAAGGGAGCGUAGACGGUUAUGUAAGUCUGGAGUGAAAGCCCGGGGCCCAACCCCGGGACUGCUUUGGAAACUGUGUAACUGGAGUACAGGAGGGGCAGGCGGAAUUCCUGGUGUAGCGGUGAAAUGCGUAGAUAUCAGGAGGAACACCGGCGGCGAAGGCGGCCUGCUGGACUGAAACUGACGUUGAGGCUCGAAAGCGUGGGGAGCAAACAGG
rnacentral:rRNA from 1 species